rnacentral:rRNA from 1 species
AUUGAACGCUGGCGGCAUGCCUUACACAUGCAAGUCGAACGGCAGCACGGGUGCUUGCACCUGGUGGCGAGUGGCGAACGGGUGAGUAAUACAUCGGAACGUGCCCAGUCGUGGGGGAUAACGUAGCGAAAGCUACGCUAAUACCGCAUACGAUCUAAGGAUGAAAGCGGGGGAUCGCAAGACCUCGCGCGAUUGGAGCGGCCGAUGGCCGAUAGGUAGUUGGUGGGGUAAAGGCUCACCAAGCCGACGAUCUGUAGCUGGUCUGAGAGGACGACCAGCCACACGGGGACUGAGACACGGCCCAGACACCUACGGGAGGCAGCAGUGGGGAAUUUUGGACAAUGGGCGCAAGCCUGAUCCAGCCAUUCCGCGUGCAGGAUGAAGGCCCUCGGGUUGUAAACUGCUUUUGUACGGAACGAAAAGGCUCUGGUUAAUACCCGGGGCUCAUGACGGUACCGUAAGAAUAAGCACCGGCUAACUACGUGCCAGCCGCCGCCGUAA